AGUAGGGAAUAUUGGACAAUGGGCGCAAGCCUGAUCCAGCCAUGCCGCGUGAGUGAAGAAGGCCCUCGGGUUGUAAAGCUCUUUUGUCCGGAAAGAAAAGCAUUCGGUUAAUACCCGGGUGUUCUGACGGUACCGGAAGAAUAAGCACCGGCUAACUUCGUGCCAGCAGCCGCGGUAAUACGAAGGGUGCAAGCGUUACUCGGAAUUACUGGGCGUAAAGCGUGCGUAGGUGGUUUGUUAAGUCUGAUGUGAAAGCCCUGGGCUCAACCUGGGAAUGGCACUGGAUACUGGCAAGCUAGAGUGUGGCAGAGGGUAGUGGAAUUCCUGGUGUAGCAGUGAAAUGCGUAGAGAUCAGGAGGAACAUCCGUGGCGAAGGCGACUGCCUGGGCCAACACUGACACUGAGGCACGAAAGCGUGGGGAGCAAA
rnacentral:rRNA from 1 species